UAUCCAUGAUUUAGCUUUUAAAGCCUUCGGGCGCUGAGGGAUUGGGAUAUGCUCUAUUAGCUAGUUGGCGGGAUAAAAGCCCACCAAGGCAAUGAUAGAUAGCUGGUCUUAGAGGAUGAACAGCCACAAUGGGAUUGAGAUACGGCCCAUAUUCCUACGGGAAGCAGCAGUAGGGAAUCUUCCACAAUGGACGAAAGUCUGAUGGAGCAAUACCAUGUGAACGAUGAAGGCCUUUUUGGUUGUAAAGUUCUUUUACGAGGGAUAAUUAUGAUAGUACUUCGUGAAUAAGUGACAGCAAACUAUGUGCCAGCAGCUGCGGUAAUACAUAGGUCGCGAGCAUUAUUCGGAUUUAUUGGGCGUAAAGCAAGCGCAGGCGGAUGUGUAAGUUCUGUGUUAAAUGCAGCUACUCAAUAGUUGUAUGCACCGAAUACUACAUGUCUAGAUUGUGGUAGGGAGUUUCGGAAUUAAGCAUGGAGCGGUGGAAUGUGUAGAUAUGCUUAAGAACACCAGAGGCGAAGGCGGAAACUUAGGCCAUAAAUGACGCUUAGGCUUGAAAGUGUGGGGAGCAAAUGGGAUUAGAUACCCCAGUAGUCCACACCGUAAACGAUGGGUAUUAGAUAUUAGGGCUUUAGCUUUAGUGUUGUAGCUUACGCGUUAAAUACCCCGCCUGGGUAGUACAUAUGCAAAUAUGAAACUCAAAGGAAUUGACGGGGACCUGAACAAGUGGUGGAGCAUGUUGCUUAAUUCGAUAAUACACGAAAAACCUUACCAAGGUUUGACAUCCCUCGCAAAGCUAUAGAAAUAUAGUAGAGGUUAUCGAGGUGACAGGUGGUGCAUGGCUGUCGUCAGCUCGUGUCUUGAGAUGUUUGGUUAAGU
rnacentral:rRNA from 1 species